UUCAGAAGAGUGAGUCAGGCGAAUUACACGGUCAAACUCGUAUCAUAAAAAUCACUUUGGUUGGAAAUCUCUGUAUAUCUUGAAACACAAUGUCGGGUCAAGAUAGUAAACAUGACAGGGAUUCAGGCAUUUCAAAGACGGAUCAAGAUAGAAAUUAUGACGGGGAUUCAGGCAACUCGCGGACGGAUCAAGAUAGAAAUGAUGACGGGGAUUCAGGCAACUCGCAGGCGAGCAGUAUACUUGGAGGUCCGGUGGGUGCAGGAGCUUUCGCUGGACUUCCGGUAAGUUGAGUUAUACUUGCGUCUAGAACAUCUUUGAUUAAAAUG